GACGGAGGGUGCAAGCGUUGUUCGGAUUGACUGGGCGUAAAGGGCGUGUAGGCGGUUGCCCAAGUCCGAUGUGAAAGCCCGAGGCUUAGCCUCGGAAGUGCAUCGGAAACUAGGCAGCUGGAGCGCGAUAGAGGAGGGUAGAAUUCCUGGUGUAGCGGUGAAAUGCGUAGAUAUCAGGAGGAAUACCGGCGGCGAAGGCGGCCCUCUGGAUCGUUGCUGACGCUGAGACGCGAAGGCGUGGGGAGCAAACAGG
rnacentral:rRNA from 1 species